rnacentral:rRNA from 1 species
UGGGGAAUUUUGCACAAUGGGCGCAAGCCUGAUGCAGCGACGCCGCGUGAGGGAUGGAGGCCUUCGGGUUGUGAACCUCUUUCGCUCAUGGUCAAGCCGCAGUUUUGAUUGUGGUGAGGGUAGUGGGUAAAGAAGCGCCGGCUAACUACGUGCCAGCAGCCGCGGUAAUACGUAGGGCGCGAGCGUUGUCCGGAAUUAUUGGGCGUAAAGGGCUUGUAGGCGGCUUGUCGCGUCUGCCGUGAAAUCCUCUGGCUUAACUGGGGGCGUGCGGUGGGUACGGGCUGGCUUGAGUGCGGUAGGGGAGACUGGAAUUCCUGGUGUAGCGGUGGAAUGCGCAGAUAUCAGGAGGAACACCGGUGGCGAAGGCGGGUCUCUGGGCCGUUACUGACGCUGAGGAGCGAAAGCAUGGGGAGCGAACAGG